AGCGAACGCUGGCGGCAGGCCUAACACAUGCAAGUCGAACGAAGUCUUCGGACUUAGUGGCGGACGGGCGAGUAACACGUGGGAACGUGCCUUUAGGUUCGGAAUAACUCAGGGAAACUUGUGCUAAUACCGAAUGUGCCCUUCGGGGGAAAGAUUUAUCGCCUUUAGAGCGGCCCGCGUCUGAUUAGCUAGUUGGUGAGGUAAAGGCCCACCAAGGCUACGAUCAGUAGCUGGUCUGAGAGGAUGACCAGCCACAUUGGGACUGAGACACGGCCCAAACUCCUACGGGAGGCAGCAGUGGGGAAUCUUGCGCAAUGGGCGAAAGCUUGACGCAGCCAUGCCGCGUGGAUGAUGAAGGUCUUAGGAUUGUAAAAUCCUUUCACCGGUGAAGAUAAUGACUGUAGCCGGAGAAGAAGCCCCGGCUAACUUCGUGCCAGCAGCCGCCGUAAUAC
rnacentral:rRNA from 1 species